rnacentral:snoRNA from 1 species
UCCAUUGCCAGAUGAGGAGCUGGUAUCUUUCAUCCUAGCAGGACUCGACUUCGACUACAAUCCUCUGGUCUCCUCUGUCGUCGGACGCACGACACCAAUUCCUUUGAGCGAUUUAUAUGCUCAGAUCUUAGCCUACGACA